GAGGCUUUAGCUUAAUUCAAAAGCGUUUGUUUUGCAAAUAGAGUAUGUAGGUGGAAGUCCUGCAAGCCUUA
rnacentral:tRNA from 1 species